UACGAAGGGUGCAAGCGUUACUCGGAAUUACUGGGCGUAAAGCGUGCGUAGGUGGUGAGUUAAGUCUGUCGUGAAAGCCCCGGGCCUCAACCUGGGAAUGGCGAUGGAUACUGGCUCGCUAGAGUGCGGUAGAGGGUGGUGGAAUUCCCGGUGUAGCAGUGAAAUGCGUAGAGAUCGGGAGGAACAUCAGUUGCGAAGGCGGCCACCUGGACCAGCACUGACACUGAGGCACGAAAGCGUGGGGAGCCAAACAGG
rnacentral:rRNA from 1 species